rnacentral:tRNA from 1 species
GUCCCUGUAGCGCAAUGAAUAGCGCGUUGGACUUCUAAGCCAAAGAUCAUGGGUUCGAAUCCCAUCUGGGAUG